UAGCAACUUGAAGAAAUAGCAACUAUAUAAACCCCAGCCUUUCCACUUCAGGAAACCCAUCACUAUCAAACAUUCUACAAAUUCUCUUCAUACACAUAUAUAGAAUAAAGGAGUACGAGGAGGGAGAGUUGCAGAGAGCUGCAGACAAUCGUAGGAUCAAGCCUACAAUCCAACAACACUUUGUUCCCACAUCAAAAGGUUAUCUCCGCAAAUUAAGGACAGAGCAAGAAAUUCAAGUUAAGGAAAAUUAAACGAACGAGGUUAAGCGGUGAUGACGAAGGGCGGUGUUGAGCAAAGAUGGCGAAUGUGUUUCAGUAUUAUAAUGCUCGGAUGAAUCGUGUCUCCAUACACGGUGUCAUUCUCUCUUGACUCUUCCGCUGCAGUGUAAAAGUUGAACUUAUGUUGUUUUGUAUUGUGUACUCUGAUAUAUUUUUCAGUCAUUCCAAUUUGAUUUCGUUCA